CCCCCGCUGAGUUUCCACUGUGACCCUACAUCCUUGGAGAUGGACGUGAGAUAAGCAGUGUUAUUUCUGCCUUGUCCUAGACAGCAUAAAAUCCAUCUGGUCCCUGUUAUUGGUGAUGGUCAGAACUAGGACCCCAAACACAACGGUCUUUGGAGAGAUCAUCAUUUCCUCCAGAUUUAGCAUCGCUCUAACAGACACGACACUUCAUCUAUGACCGUCAGCUUAAGAUUAUACUUUACUUAGCGCUUUGCCUAAGUUUUCCAUAUUUGCUCUUUAAGUAAACACCAGUCACUCUAAUGAGUCAUA